AGAGUACGUGAAACCGUUCAGGGGUAAACCUGAGAAACCCGAAAGGUCGAAUGGGGAAAUUCAUUCGCGUUUCGAUUGUCGGCGUUGAGCGGUUGCGUGACUGACGGGGUACGCUUCGUCGGCACCUUCAGUUUUUCGAACCGACUUCGAACGCGUGCACUUUUCCCCUAGUAGGACGUCGCGAUCCGUUGGGUGUCGGUCUAAGGCCUGCGGUGGAGCUCGCGCUGACGUUUCGGCGUUCAGCACGAACCCGCAGUGUCCCGAUCGACUCGCUCGACGGUAUAAAGAUGGCGCGGGGCCGCUACACAGUUAGCGUUCGGCCUACGGCAAGCACGUACGGUGUUUGAUGGCGAUCAGACCUGGUCGGAUCCCGUCCCCGGACGACUGUUGGCACGUAGUGUUCUCGAACAGACCUCGUUGAAACGCCGAUCUGCGACGCUAUAGCUUUGGGUACUUUCAGGACCCGUCUUGAAACACG
rnacentral:rRNA from 1 species